rnacentral:rRNA from 1 species
UCCAGGCCCUACGGGGUGCACCAGGGGCGAAACCUCCGCAAUGGGUGAAAGCCUGACGGGGGGACGGGGAGUGCCGGGGGUUUACCCCCGGCUUUUGGGGAGUGUAAGCAGCUCCCCGAAUAAGCGGCGGGCAAGAGGGGUGGCAGUCGCCACGGGAAUACCCCCGCCGCGAGUGGUGGCCUCGAUUAUUGGGCCUAAAGGGGCCGUAGCCGGGCCGGUGUGGCCCCCGUGAAAUCCUCGGGCUCAACCCGAGGGCGCGCGGGGGCUACUACCGGCCUAGGGGCCGGGAGAGGCGGGGGGUACUCCCGGGGGAGCGGUGAAAUGCUGUAAUCCCGGGAGGACCACCUGAGGCGAAAGCGCCCCGCCAGAACGGUCCCGACGGUGAGGGCCGAAGGCCGGGGGCUCAAAUGGGAUUAGAGACCCCAGUAGUCCCGGCUGUCAACGCUGCGGGCUACCUGCCGGGCGGGCUAAGUGCCCGCUCGGUGGGGAAGGGAAGCCGUUAAGCCCGCCGCCUGGGGAGUACGGCCGCAAGGCUGAAACUUAAAGGAAUAGACGGGGGGGCACACAAGGGGUGGGGUGUGCGGUUUAAUUGGAAUCGACACCGGAAACCUUACCGGGGGCGACAGCAGGAUGAUGGCCCCCCUGAAGGGGGUGCCGGACGCGCUGAGAGGAGGUGCAUGGCCGCCGUCAGCUCGUGCCGUGAGGUGUCCUGUUAAGUCAGGAAACGAGCGCGACCCGCGCCCGCAGUUGCGACGGGGGUGGGGUUUCCCACCCCGGCACACUGCGGGGACUGCCGGGGAAACCCGGAGGAAGGUGCGGGCGACGGCAGGUCCGCAUGCCCCGAAUCCCCCGGGCUACACGCGCGCAACAAUGGGCGGGACAAUGGGGAUCCGACCCCGAAAGGGGGAGGGAAUCCCCUAAACCCGCUCCCAGUCCAGAUUGCGGGCUGCAACUCGCCCGCAUGACGGCGGAAUCCCUAGUAAUCGGGGGUCACUAUUCCCCCGGUGAAUACGUCCCUGCCCCUUGCACACACCGCCCGUC